GCCUUUCUGCCGAUCACAAAUCAUUGUACCAUGUUUUUUACAAUGUUAACUUUGAUUUUUAUAUAUUUCUAAAAACAUUUUUAAACAUUAUCUCACUUAGCCCUUGCAGCAUCUCUCAGAGCUGUACAGGGCAUUACUACCAUAAUAUUACCCAAAAAGAAAACUUGCAUGCAGACAAAUUCUGUCAGCAUUGCGGUGACAGAGUGCAGUGCAGGUAUGUCAGCAUUGCGGUGACAGAGUGCAGUGCAGGUAUGUCAGCAUUGCGGUGACAGAGUGCAGUGCAGGUAUGUCUUUUGGUUCUGAGUUAGUGUUUUUUCCACUGUGCCAUAUCAUCUCACCAUAUCAUAAGAGAUGGCACCACUUGUGAUGUCCUAAUAAAUGAACAGUAGAAUUUUGAAGGGCUGAUUAUUUUCUAGAAACUGUUUAAAAUGUGAAGUUAAGUUCUUCAGUCCUGACUGAAUUUGGGCCAUUUGUUUUUUGGAACAAAUGGUCUGUGCUGUAUUAUCAUAACCCAUGUGAAAUACAUGAAUAAGAAAAUACAUAGAGAAUCACACUGAUGAAGGUAUUAUAAUAUACUGGGAAAGCACAAGCUUUAAAAGUCAUCUGUUGGGAUUUUAGUCCCCGAAUGAUAUUAAGGUAAUAAUCAAUUCGCCAUUAUUAAAAAAAAAAAGUUAAAUAUGCACCUUUUAUGGCCCAGUCGUUCACUUUUAAAUGUCAGAGAUAGAAGGCUCAUGUCCACGUGAACAAAAGUGUCCCUAGCAUCCUUGUUUAUAACACUUGAAACAAUCUGGAUGCCAUCAGCAGGGAAAGCAAGAACAAAUUAUGAUAUGUCCAAAUAACUCCAAUAAAGGGGGGCGAAAGCCUUUCUGCUCAUGAGUAAGCUAAUCACAAACACUGUGCUAUCCUUUCUAUAAUGUUAACUGCAAUUUCUAUAUAUUUCUAAAACUAUUUUACACAUAGGCGGCAAACAAAACAAGAAGAAUAUUACAUAAUUUUAUCAUAUAAAAUGCAAAUUAAUCUAUAGUAACAUAAAGUAGGCCAGUGUUUCCCAGAAGGUAUGGUGAGGGGUAGGAUAGAGAAUUCGAGUGAAGCAAGAGGAGACUGGGGGUAUCAGGUGCCUUAUUAUCAAAGGCAUAUAAAUAUACCAAAACAUUAGGUUAUCACUAUGAAACUUAUGUUAAUUAUAUCUCAAAAAGCUGUUUUUAAAAACUGUGGAAGAAAGGACUCAGUAGAGGUGGAAGGAAUGCAGAGUGUAAAGGAUGGAGAUGAAUUAAAAUCCAAUAAAUGGCAUACAUGCAUGACAACACAAUGACUAAUGUGUAUGUUAACUUUAAAAAUGAAUUUUAAAAUUCUAAUGGAAUUUGUAUAGUUUGAUGAGAAUGUUAUAUUGUUGCUAGAGCAGUAAGGCAGGAGUAGGGGGAGCACCCUCUUAGAAGCAGGGAUGAUGGGGCUGUGAUGGGGGUUGCAGAGGGGAAGCCAGGAAGGGGGAGGAUAGCAUUUGAAAUGUAAAUAAAUAAAAUAACCAAUUAAAAGAACAUAGAGAUGAGAAACAGUUGGCAAAUUCAUUUAUUCAUUGAAGUAAGCAGAUGUAUAGUGUGCUAGAAGGAGUAAAUAAAGACUCACAGACAAGUAGAAGAGAUACAUGUAAUACAGAAAUGCUGACUGUGCCAGUAUCAGAAGCAAUGCAUAGACAUAAGUAAUACAGCACAGUCAUGUUGUUAUAACAGUGUCUUUCUAUAGGAGAACACCACCUUGGGUUGAAGAAUUUAACCAAACCUGAGUGUGUGUAAAGACUGUAAUAAUUUAUGUUAUACAGAAAAAGGUGCUAUUACUUACUGAAGAUGGAGUUUUAAAAAAGAACUAUUUUUAUGAUGAAGUCAUCAGUUUCACUUAGAUAUAAAUGAGAGAUAAGAACAGCAGACCUUUGUUUCCAAGAGCAUCAGUUUUUAAUGGUAAGAAUAAUAGUUAUCAAAGAUGGUGUUGAAAGCAAAGAAGAAAGCUCCUGACCCUCCCAAAGCCCAAGUCAAAGCUAACCCCUUGAAAACCAAGAGGACAGUGCCAAAAGGAGUUCACAGCCACAAACAGAAGAUCCUCGUGUCACCCAUCUUCCAGUGCCCCAAGAUUGUGCGGCUCUGGAGGCAGCCCAAACACCUUCAGAAGAGUGCACCCAGGAGAAACAAGCUUGACCACUAUGCCAUCAUCAAAUCCCCCAACCACCGAGUCCACCAUGAAGAAGAUAGAAGACAAUAGCACACUUGUGCUCACUAUGCAUGCCAAGGCUAACAAGCAUCUGAUUAAACAGGCUGUAAAGAAAUGUCAGGACAUUAAGGUGACCAAAGCCAAUACUCUGAUAAGGCUUGACUGAGUGAAGAAGGGAUAUUUUCAGCUAGCACCUGAUUAUGGUGCUCUGGACAUUGCCAACAACACUGGAAUCGUCUAAACUGAGUCCAGCUGUCUAAUUCUAAAUAUACAUUUUUUUUCCGCCAUUACAAAAGAAGAAAAUGAAUAGCAAUCUGAGAGCUCCUAGGACCAGGGAGAUGGGCUCAGUCUUGGUCUCAAUCUUAGACUCAAGAUGGAUGUUCCCAGCUGAUGUCUAAGUAAAGAUACUGUGCAAGAGUUGGAAGUUUAAGUUUGUCCCUUUGGGAAAGUAGUCCAUCCUGAGAUUAGAGCUUUAGGAUUCAGUAUCCUGUAAGAGCACUGACCAAAUUCUAGGAGCAGAUGGGCCUGUUCAGGAAGUGUAUAGCAUGAGGCAAGGUAACCAACCAUAAACAUGGAGGUGCUGUCACUAUUUAAGGCAGCAACCAGGAGGAGCAGGAGACAUGGUGAGGUUGAGGGCUAUUAUACUAGAAGAAAAAGAAAAGUAUCUAAGGGAAAAAAGAAAUUUUUUUUUUUAACCACUUGAAAAUAGUACCCAGAGGUUUUCCAGAUCAGCUAAGUCCCACAAAAGUAACUAACUGUAGGAUAUUGAAAGUUUACAAAAAAGGAAUGUAAUCAGCAAAAUACUGUAUAAGUCAGAUGUGAGGGGCUUAUAAAGCUGUAACAUAGAUGUUAAGUAUACUUGAAUAAAAUUAUAUAACAAUAUGGAUAGAGUAAGAAAGGACAAUGAAAGGGAGGUGCAUCUUUAUUUUUUUGUAACCAAAAGCCAGUAGAUAUUUUUUAAGGACUGAAAUAAAUCCAAGAACUAACACUAUAAAUAAUAUUUGAAGCUAGAUAUAUGGUGACUCAGAGCUGUAAUUGUCAUAAGUGGAUUGUCACAAGUUUAAGACCAACCAGGGCUUUGUAAGUUCUGUUAAAAUAUGUAGACAUUGGGGCUGGCAAGAUGGCUCAGAGGUUAAGAGCACUGACUGCUCUUCUGAAGGUCCUGAGUUC